rnacentral:rRNA from 1 species
UAAACGGCCGCGGUAACCUAACCGUGCAAAGGUAGCGUAAUUCCUUGCCUUCUAAUUAAAGGCCAGUCAAUGGUCAAACGAGGCUUAAACUGUCUCUUGUAAUUAUGCGGAAAUUAACAUUUAAGUGAAAAGGCUUAAAUACAAGUGAGUGACGAGAAGACCCUAUAGAGUUUUAUUGAAGUAAAAUGCUGUAAUACCACAGUAACUUUACACUAAUUUAAUUGGGGCAAUUAGAGAAAAAGAAACUUCUCCCAAUAAAUAAACCAUGGAAAAACUACCUUAGGGAUAACAGCAUAAUUUUACUGGAGAGCACACAUUUAUAGUAAAGAUUAUGACCUCGAUGUUGGAUUAAGGCACCUGAAAGACGCAGGGGUCUUCAAGGGGGUCUGUUCGACCCUUUAACCCUUAC